rnacentral:rRNA from 1 species
AAGAUUUAUUGCCUGAAGAGGAGCUCGCGUCUGAUUAGCUAGUUGGUGGGGUAAAGGCUUACCAAGGCGGCGAUCAGUAGCUGGUCUGAGAGGACGAUCAGCCACACUGGGACUGAGACACGGCCCAGACUCCUACGGGAGGCAGCAGUGGGGAAUUUUCCGCAAUGGGCGAAAGCCUGACGGAGCAAGACCGCGUGAGGGAGGAAGGCUCUUGGGUUGUAAACCUCUUUUCUCAGGGAAGAAAAAAAUGACGGUACCUGAGGAAUCAGCAUCGGCUAACUCCGUGCCAGCAGCCGCGGUAAUACGGAGGAUGCAAGCGUUAUCCGGAAUCAUUGGGCGUAAAGCGUUCGUAGGUGGCCUUUCAAGUCUGCCGUUAAAGACAGUGGCUUAACCACUGAAAGGCGGUGGAAACUGAAAGACUAGAGUGCGGUAGGGGUAGAGGGAAUUCCCGGUGUAGCGGUGAAAUGCGUAGAGAUCGGGAAGAACACCAGUGGCGAAAGCGCUCUACUGGGCCUGCACUGACACUGAGGGACGAAAGCUAGGGGAGCGAAUGGGAUUAGAUACCCCAGUAGUCCUAGCCGUAAACGAUGGAUACUAGGUGUUGCUCGUAUCGACCCGAGCAGUGCCGUAGCCAACGCGUUA